rnacentral:rRNA from 1 species
UCGCACCUACCGAUUGAAUGGUCCGGUGAAGCCUCGGGAUUGUGGUCUGGUUCCUUCAUUGGGACCCUGACCGUGGGAACUUGUCUAAACCUUAUCAUCUAGAGGAAGGUG